rnacentral:tRNA from 1 species
GGGAAGUUAGCUUAACUGGAAAAGCAUUCGGUUGAAGCCCGAAGGAAGUGAGUUCAAGUCUUGCACUUCCCA